rnacentral:lncRNA from 1 species
GAGGCUUUCAAGAAACAUGGUGAUGUGCUGCUUAGGGCCGUGGUUUAGUGAACAUACUGGUGAUGGGUCAACAGUUGAACCAGAUGAUCCGAAUGAUCUUUUCCAACCUUAAUGAUUCUGUGAUUCUAUGUCCUAUUUUUGGUCAGCCUUCACUCCCUGCUGAUGCACAACCAUGCAUGGUGCAUGGUAAGGGUAGAAUCCUCCUCACAGAGACAGGGACAGCACACUUGGUCUGUUA